AGUAACAAAUAUCUAUUUGCCAGGCCCGGCAAAACUCCAAUAAGAUCUACUGAUGCUUUAAGAAAAUACGCAGCACUGUGUGGUUCCAAACAACCUCAUACUCUGACCUCAACUGGAUUCAGAAAACAUGUGGCCACCAUGUCACAAAUGCUCAACUUGAAAGACAACAAACUAGAUGUGCUUGCAACAUUCCUCGGGCAUGACAUUCGAGUCCACCGUGAAUAUUAUCGGUUACCAGAAAACACUAUCCAUGUUGCCAAAGUCAGCAAGUUACUCCUGGAACUUUAGAGCGUGGCAAUAUCAGCGCCUACAAGGGCAAGAGUUUAGAAGACAUAGAUUUUGAUAUGGACGGGCCAAGAAGUCAGCCUCAGCAUCAGCCAGCGCACUGCCACCAUCACCUGAGCAAGAGGAGCAAGAGAGAGGGGACAACCAGCUGGAGCACUGCCACCAUCACCUGAGCAAGAGAGAGGGG